rnacentral:rRNA from 1 species
GUGGGGAAUCUUGCGCAAUGGGCGAAAGCCUGACGCAGCCAUGCCGCGUGAAUGAUGAAGGUCUUAGGAUUGUAAAAUUCUUUCACCGGGGACGAUAAUGACGGUACCCGGAGAAGAAGCUCCGGCUAACUUCGUGUCAGCAGCCGCGGUAAUACGAAGGGGGCUAGCGUUGCUCGGAAUUACUGGGCGUAAAGGGCGCGUAGGCGGACAGCUUAGUCAGAGGUGAAAGCCCAGGGCUCAACCUUGGAAUUGCCUUUGAUACUGGCUGUCUUGAGUACGGGAGAGGUGAGUGGAACUCCGAGUGUAGAGGUGAAAUUCGUAGAUAUUCGGAAGAACACCAGUGGCGAAGGCGACUCACUGGCCCGUUACUGACGCUGAGGCGCGAAAGCGUGGGGAGCAAACAGGAUUAGAUACCCUUGUAGUCC